rnacentral:rRNA from 1 species
CCUACGGGAGGCAGCAGUGGGGAAUCUUGCGCAAUGGGCGAAAGCCUGACGCAGCAAUGCCGCGUGAGGGAAGACGGCCUUAGGGUUGUAAACCUCUUUCAGCAGGGACGAAAACAGACGGUACCUGCAGAAGAAGCCCCGGCUAACUACGUGCCAGCAGCCGCGGUAAUACGUAGGGGGCGAGCGUUGUCCGGAAUCAUUGGGCGUAAAGAGCGUGUAGGUGGACUGGAAGGUCUGGUGUGAAAGCCCGGGGCUCAACCCCGGAGGGUCACUGGAAACCAACAGUCUUGAGUCCGGAAGAGGAGAGUGGAAUUCCUGGUGUAGCGGUGGAAUGCGCAGAUAUCAGGAGGAACACCGAUGGCGAAGGCAGCUCUCUGGUACGUGACUGACACUGAGACGCGAAAGCGUGGG